rnacentral:rRNA from 1 species
AACACGUGGGCAAUCUGCCCUUCACUCUGGGACAAGCCCUGGAAACGGGGUCUAAUACCGGAUAACACUCUGUCCCUCAUGGGGCGGGGUUAAAAGCUCCGGCGGUGAAGGAUGAGCCCGCGGCCUAUCAGCUUGUUGGUGGGGUAAUGGCCUACCAAGGCGACGACGGGUAGCCGGCCUGAGAGGGCGACCGGCCACACUGGGACUGAGACACGGCCCAGACUCCUACGGGAGGCAGCAGUGGGGAAUAUUGCACAAUGGGCGAAAGCCUGAUGCAGCGACGCCGCGUGAGGGAUGACGGCCUUCGGGUUGUAAACCUCUUUCAGCAGGGAAGAAGCGAAAGUGACGGUACCUGCAGAAGAAGCGCCGGCUAACUACGUGCCAGCAGCCGCGGUAAUACGUAGGGCGCAAGCGUUGUCCGGAAUUAUUGGGCGUAAAGAGCUCGUAGGCGGCUUGUCACGUCGGAUGUGAAAGCUCGGGGCUUAACCCCGAGUCUGCAUUCGAUACGGGCUAGCUAGAGUGUGGUAGGGGAGAUCGGAAUUCCUGGUGUAGCGGUGAAAUGCGCAGAUAUCAGGAGGAACACCGGUGGCGAAGGCGGAUCUCUGGGCCAUUACUGACGCUGAGGAGCGAAAGCGUGGGGAGCGAACAGGAUUAGAUACCCUGGUAGUCCACGCCGUAAACGUUGGGAACUAGGUGUUGGCGACAUUCCACGUCGUCGGUGCCGCAGCUAACGCAUUAAGUUCCCCGCCUGGGGAGUACGGCCGCAAGGCUAAAACUCA